AAUAAACAUAUUUACUUUGAAUUUUGUAUUAACGAAGUAUAUAUUAAAAUUGAAUGAACAAUUUUAACUCAAAACUUUUAUACGCGUGCGCGAUUGCAUGUACACGCGCAUCUGUACACAAGACUUCUAGUUUUGGAAUCAGACACAACAAAAAACAUUCACUCUCUCUCAUCGGGUCCAGGUCCGAGAUCCACCAUACAAUCGACCAGAGGAGCCCCCUCACCGGCCCAUCGAGCACACGGCAAGGUGGCAAUCCAUCAAGGGGAAUGAUUGGAGCAAUGCCUGCUGUUGCCGUUCGGCAUGAAAGACGACGACAAGAAAACAGAACAAAGCGCCCUAGUCAAUUAUACUUAGGUGGCCAGUGGACUCAGACUUCCCAAGGAUCUCCUUUAACGCCAAGUUCGUAUACUCAAAAUAAGCAUGACGAAUCAGCACCUGAAGUUUACUUAUGUGGAAAGAAAAAAAAACCGUGCAAAUUCUCGGAAUAUUUUUUCAAGCUCAAGCCUCAUAUCAGAAAUAGAGAUGAAUUCUUGCAAAUCGAAUCGACUAUCAAUAACUCGGCGAGGACUUCUGUGUCACUUAUCUUAUUAUCUGGAAGGAAAUGGGAAGGAUAUCAUAGGAGUGAUGUAUUCAUGGAAAAACACUGGAAAAGUGCUGUUGCGCGAUCUCUUUGUGAUUAUUUUUUCGAUCAACAACAUAAAGCUUCAAAUCCUGAUGAUACUCCUCCAGUUAUAGCAACACCUCAUCAUUAUCUUAUUAGUAUUCAUCGAUGUAGUAUGUUCUUUGUUGCAGUCUGCAUUUCUGAAGUGCCUACUUUGUUUGUAAUUGAAUUUUUACACCGAGUUGUUGAUACGUUCGAAGAUUAUUUUGGAGAGUGUAGUGAAACAAUCAUAAAAGAAAAUUAUGUCGUUGUUUAUGAACUAUUGGAUGAAAUGUUAGAUAACGGAUUCCCUCUGGCAACUGAAUCAAAUAUUUUAAAAGAACUCAUUAAACCACCUACUAUUUUAAGAUCCAUUGCCAAUACUGUUACUGGAAAAUCUAAUGUAAGUUCUACGUUACCGAGUGGACAAUUAUCGAACGUUCCUUGGAGACGAUCAGGUGUAAAAUACACAAACAAUGAAGCAUAUUUUGAUAUAAUUGAAGAAGUAGAUGCUAUAAUUGAUAGAACAGGCGCAACUGUCUUUGCGGAAAUUCAAGGAUAUAUUGAUUGCUGUAUCAAACUAAGUGGUAUGCCAGAUCUAACGCUAUCUUUCGUUAACUCAAGAUUAUUUGAUGAUGUUAGUUUUCAUCCUUGUGUUAGAUUCAAAAGAUGGGAGUCAGAAAAGAUACUUUCUUUUAUACCUCCAGAUGGAAAUUUUCGAUUAUUAUCAUAUCAUGUCGGUUCUCAUAGUAUAGUAGCAGUUCCUUUAUAUGUGAAACAUAAUAUAAAUUUGAAGGAAGCUGGUGGUGGAAGAUUAGAUAUAACUGUUGGGCCAAAACAAACAAUCGGAAGAAUUGUUUUGAGAAGAAUCACCUUUGGACAUUCAAAAUAUAGGACUGCAAGAGGUGCGAUAAUUACAAGGAUUGAAGCAAUACAGGCAGUUCUAAUCUGCUUAAGAUGAUCGACGAGUCCUUCCAGAGCAUCGCCAAUAACAACUUCGACAUUAUCAAGGAGAUCAAGAAGAUCAAGAACAUCGGCAACAUGCGGGCCAUAGCCGGGGCGGCCAAUUGGGAGCACCGCACCCUCGUGACGCACUGCAACUUCUCUAGAGUCGACCAACUGAAGCAGCUUUGGCAUAACUCGCAUGCAGCAGGCCCAGACCAUGGCCACCAAGUGCAAGAUCGUCCAGUCGGCAGGGGAGGUGCAAGGAGUCGCUGCGCACCCACGAGCGCAUUUACGAGCGCAAGCGCCAAGCAUACAGGUCGGUCUACCCCGAGACACAGCUCGCCUCCAACAUCCUCGUGCAGGCGCUGAUACGCGACUGCAAGUUCGCCUUGGACAUGGCUAUGCUCGAAUAGCGCCACGAAAGCGAGAAGACCGCGAUCGGCGCCACCCAUCCGGACUGCAUGCAGACUCGGCAGAAUAUGGCCCUCAUGUACCUGCAGCAGGGCAAGUACCACACGGCGCUGCGCAUCUACCGCGAGUGCCGCGACAAAACGGCCGCGGCUCUCGGCCGCAACAACCACAAGAUCAAGAACUACGACAAGGCACCCGCGGCAUCGCGGAGGAGAUGCGUCGCAUCGGCUACCUAAACAACACGGCGACAACUUGGAGAACCUUGUGCGCAUUGCCAUCAGAAACGAAGACGAGGAGGUGAUCUGCUGGCUGCUGGCUUCUUCGCCGUAAACCGGGGCAACCCGCCGGUGGUCCGAGCUCUGCUCGACGCCAAGGCCAACGUCCACGUCUCGACCAACCAGGGCAACAGUUGUAAAGGUUUGCUGUGUGAAUGAUUGUAUCUAGUGCUCGCUGCCUCAUUCCUAUGGAAAAUUGGGAAACAUUGCAUAACUUCAACAUUGAUUAACAAGUAAGGAAGAAUUAGUAAGCCAAGAUGAGUCGUUUCUUGGCCACUGGUUUGGACUCAGAGUCCAACACUUAAACUGAGAAGGAUGUUUGGAUAGGCUAGCCAUCAAAUCAUUCCUGAUAACAGUUUAGCGGUGCAAAAGAAAAAACGAAUAGAUAUGAGGAGAUCACGAAUCUCAUCAAUUUAAUCAGAAAUUACAAGAAAAUCAAAGAUAUGAGCAUUUGAGGACCUGAUGUGAGCCUACCAAAAAGCUGCACCUGUUAUCUCAAAGGAAGAAAGUGGACAAACUACACGUUCACAUAAGUUGUUUAGUUGGGAUUAAAUAUUUUAUCAACGAAGUGUGGGAAGACAGACGAAUGUAAGAGUAUGUCAAAGAACAACUGUAAAUCAUCAACAUCCCUGCGUCAAAAACUGAGGAUAUACUACAGAGUUUGAAGAAGAAAUUGCCAAGCUCCGUUAAAAUCCAGGCCAAGAUGAUAAUAAAGAAGAAGAGAAGACUGAGCAGUUAGAAUCUGAUGAUGACGGUGACAAUGAAUUCAGGGAACAAGAAUCCAGUGCACCAGAUACUUAUAAAUUCAAGGUAGAAAAUGUACGUUUAGAAAUACCGAUGUCUAGAGUUGUUCUAAAUUGUAACCUCAUUCCAAAUCAAGGAAAAUAUUCAUUUGAUUCAGUUAAUAAGAUUUUGCAUUGGAAC